rnacentral:rRNA from 1 species
UACGAGUACCCCAAGCGUUAUCCGGAAUCAUUGGGCGUAAAGGGAGUGUAGGCGGUUAGUUAAGUCUUCUGUGAAAUCUACGGGCUUAGCCUGUAACGUGCAGAGGAAACUGGCUGACUUGAGUAUCGGAGAGGGCAGGGGAAUACCCAGUGUAGAGGUGAAAUUCGUAGAGAUUGGGUGGAACACCAGUGGCGAAGGCGCCUGCCUGGCUGAUUACUGACGCUGAGACUCGAAAGCAUGGGGAGCAAACAGG